rnacentral:rRNA from 1 species
AUGAACGCUGGCGGCGUGCUUAACACAUGCAAGUCGAACGAAGCACUUUACAAAUUGAUUCUUCGGAAGAGAGAGUUUGUGACUGAGUGGCGGACGGGUGAGUAACGCGUGGGCAACCUGCCUCAUACAGGGGGAUAACACUUAGAAAUAGGUGCUAAUACCGCAUAAGCGCACAGAAUCGCAUGAUUCAGUGUGAAAAACUCCGGUGGCAUACGAUGGACCCGCGUCUGAUUAGCUAGUUGGUGAGGUAACGGCUCACCAAGGCGACGAUCAGUAGCCGGCCUGAGAGGGUGAACGGCCACAUUGGGACUGAGACACGGCCCAAACUCCUACGGGAGGCAGCAGUGGGGAAUAUUGCACAAUGGGGGAAACCCUGAUGCAGCGACGCCGCGUGAGCGAAGAAGUAUUUCGGUAUGUAAAGCUCUAUCAGCAGGGAAGAAAAUGACGGUACCUGACUAAGAAGCCCCGGCUAACUACGUG